rnacentral:rRNA from 1 species
UACGGAGGGUGCGAGCGUUGUCCGGAAUCACUGGGCGUAAAGGGCGCGUAGGCGGCGCGGGGAGUCAACGGUGAAAGCUCGGCGCUCAACGCCGAGUCGGCCGUCGAUACUCCCGUGCUCGAGCACUGUAGAGGCAGGUGGAAUUCCGGGUGUAGCGGUGGAAUGCGUAGAGAUCCGGAAGAACGACCGGUGGCGCAAGGCGG